rnacentral:rRNA from 1 species
CCUACGGGUGGCAGCAGUGAGGAAUAUUGCACAAUGGGCGCAAGCCUGAUGCAGCCAUGCCGCGUGUAUGAAGAAGGCCUUCGGGUUGUAAAGUACUUUCAGCGGGGAGGUAGGGAGUAAAGCUAAUACCUUUGCUCAUUGACGUUACCCGCAGAAGAAGCACCGGUUAACUCCGGGCCAGCAGCCGCGGUAAUACGGGGGGUGCAAGCGUUAAUCGGAAUUACUGGGCGUAAAGCGAACGCGGUCGGUUGUUUAAGUCAGAGGUAAAACCCCCGGGCUAAACCUGGGAACUGCGUCGGAUACUGGAGAGCUGGGGUCUCUUAGAGGGGGGUAGAAUUCCAGGUGUAGCGGUGAAAU